rnacentral:tRNA from 1 species
AUCAAGGGAUGGGAAUCGAACCCACGACCUUCCGCUUACCGGGCAGAUGCCAUGACCACUAGGCUACCCUGGA